GACGAACGCUGGCGGCGUGCUUAACACAUGCAAGUCGAACGGUGAAGCGCCUUCCUUUUUGGUGGGUGUGGAUGAGUGGCGAACGGGUGAGUAACACGUGAGUAACCUGCCCCCUUCUUCUGGAUAACCGCAUGAAAGUGUGGCUAAUACGGGAUAUUCUGGGUCUGUCGCAUGAUGGGUCUGGGAAAGAUAUUGUUUCGGUGGGGGAUGGGCUCGCGGCCUAUCAGCUUGUUGGUGGGGUGAUGGCCUACCAAGGCGGUGACGGGUAGCCGGCCUGAGAGGGUGGACGGUCACACUGGGACUGAGACACGGCCCAGACCCCUACGGGAGGCAGCAGUGGGGAAUAUUGCACAAUGGGCGCAAGCCUGAUGCAGCGACGCCGCGUGAGGGAUGGAGGCCUUCGGGUUGUGAACCUCUUUCGCCAGUGAAGCAGGCCUGCCUCGUUUGUGGGUGGGUUGACGGUAGCUGGAUAAGAAGCGCCGGCUAACUACGUG
rnacentral:rRNA from 1 species